AGCCACCCAGACGCCCCGAAAUCUGGGCCUGGGGCGUUGAACACUGGCCUGUGUGAAUUUCCAACUCCAGACCCUCAGUGAUAAUGACAGAAGGGAAGAAGAGGAUUUGGAAAUCAUUCAGCAAGUCUAAUAAUAUACACAGCAUUUCUUUUUCAACUGGAUGGACCCUCAAUCUUCACCAUCAUCACAUUAAAUAUCUUAUUAUACUUUGGAUUCCAUGAAGUCAGCAAUUUCCUCUGCUAUAUAUAAAACAUGAUAGAAGUGCUAUAUUUUAAGACAAAAAAAGAAUAAGACAAGAAAACAAAAAUCAAAUAAAGCUUAGAAAAAAAUACAACUGUAAUUUAUAUCAAGUUAAAGAAGAAAACCAGAACUGUUUAUUCAUAGAGGUUCCGGAAGAUACUGGAUAAAAUCCUACCAACAUCCUUAAUAAAAAGUCUAAGUAGAUAGAAAUAAAAUAGCAAGCAUAAAUAUAAUCUGUGAAUUUCGGUUUUAUUUCUCAUUACUUCUAAAUCAUACUUCUCUCAUCUUAAAGUUUCUAAGUUAAUAUUCUCCUAGAUGAAGCAGCUCUUUCAUACUAUUCUCUAAGCAGGAAAUUAGUAAGAACUUUAAUGUUGUCAAUAAAUGUGCUCUGGAUUUCCUUUAAGUAAAAGAAAUCUCUAGCAAUUAGGUGAUUCAAGUUUAAGCAUUCAUGUGGAUUGGCGUCAAUUAAAUGUUGGCAAAGGUCAGUGCAAACACUGAAAGUGGAAUAAAAAUUGUAAGGGUCUAGUGAUUAAAUAGGCAGUGGGUGAUUAGUCACAUUCAUAGCUAUGGGUAUGUUUUCAAACUGCUUAAGGAGAAUUUGAAAACACAACAUCAUAUACAUGUAGUUCUGGAAAGAAAUUGGUUG